AUGCAAAUGAUGAACUACUCGGAUUCCCCUUCAGGACAUCCUGGAUGAUGUUAUCUCGAGUUUCUGAUGCU
rfam:Amborella trichopoda AMTR_V1.0_contig_42703, whole genome shotgun sequence.